AUCGUGGAACUAAGGGUGCGUUUGGUUCGAGUUAUCCUGGCAGGAUUACAGGCAAUCCUGCCAGGAUAACUAUGUUUGGUUAAUCCGCUAUGUAAUCUAGUUGUUAAUGUAGGAUUACAAAUCGAGCAGGAUUACAUCGAAAAUAUUAAUGGGAGGGGGGUCGUGUAUCUUGCAUUACUGAAACCCGUUAAUACUACAUAUUAUGUAAAAUGACAAUUUUACCCUCCAACAACCCCAAAUCUAAUUAACAGCAUUAUUUUCAUCUCUAUCUCGCCUCCCCCCGGCCCUCUCUCUCGCACGCCGCUUUCUCUCGCUCUCUCUCUCUGGACGUCUCUCUCUCUCUCUCUCUCUCUCUCUCUCUCUCACACGAACACCUAUCAUCUUCUAUUGCGUCGUCCUCCCAAAUAAUCAUCACGAUCUCCUUCCCUCCAUUCGUCAUUUCCGCAAAAAAUAAUAUUCAAAUGACCACAACAAGGGCAAUUUUGGAAAAAACUAUACUUUUAUGUUAGGAUUACUAAAUUUUAUAAACUGAACCAAACAUAUUAAUGCUAUAAACACUGUAAUCUAGUAUUACAUUACUGUAUUAAACCAAACGCUCUAAUGUAACAUUAGUAGUAAUCUCACGCCGAAAUCCAAGAUACCUGGAUAUGUCGAGAUACUUUGUAAUAUUACAUAACUCGAACCAAACGAGCCCUAAAUCCCAUGUUCCAUUGGCCAUUAAGGCAUCUAACCAUUGUACUCUAAAAGCUUACGCUUUUAAGCUUUUAGAGUACAACGGUUGUUUCACAUGGUAUCAGAGCAGGAGGUCCUGAGUUCGAGUCACGCCAGGCUCCUAACAUAUUAAUUUCCUCUCAUUUAAUUCAAGUCCAUGUCAUGGGCCAACUAAAAAGUCUCAAGCCCAGACGUGAGGGGGAGUGUUAAAUAUAAAAUUAUAUAAACACCGUUCUCGAACAGCUUAAGCUUUUAGAGUACAACGGUUGUUUCACAAUAAUAGCCAUUAAAAAUUGACAAGUUUAGAAUAAUUUGAUCACAAAGUAAACUAUAUCGAAAAAAUAUAAAAUUUUAUUUCUAAAAUCUUUAAAUAUCUUAGAUUAGUUUUAACGAUAUGAAUUGUUAAUUUAAGCACCCUAAAAUAAAAAAACAAAACUAUAAUACAGGAGCUCU
rnacentral:lncRNA from 1 species